rnacentral:rRNA from 1 species
UACGAGGGGGGCAAAUGUUGUUCGGAAUCACUGGGCGUAAAGGGAGCGUAGGCGGGUUUUUAAGUCAGGUGUUUAAUCCCGGGGCCCAACCCCGGACCGGCACUUGAAACUGGGAAUCUUGAAUAGGGGAGAGGUCAGUGGAAUUGGAGGUGUAGCGGUGGAAUGCGUAGAGAUCUCCAAGAACACCAGUUGCGAAGGCGGCUGACUGGACCCAUAUUGACGCUGAGGCUCGAAAGCGUGGGGAGCGAACAGG